GAUCCUGGCUCAGAUUGAACGCUGGCGGCAGGCCUAACACAUGCAAGUCGAGCGGAUGAAGGGAGCUUGCUCCUGGAUUCAGCGGCGGACGGGUGAGUAAUGCCUAGGAAUCUGCCUGGUAGUGGGGGAUAACGUCCGGAAACGGGCGCUAAUACCGCAUACGUCCUGAGGGAGAAAGUGGGGGAUCUUCGGACCUCACGCUAUCAGAUGAGCCUAGGUCGGAUUAGCUAGUUGGUGGGGUAAAGGCCUACCAAGGCGACGAUCCGUAACUGGUCUGAGAGGAUGAUCAGUCACACUGGAACUGAGACACGGUCCAGACUCCUACGGGAGGCAGCAGUGGGGAAUAUUGGACAAUGGGCGAAAGCCUGAUCCAGCCAUGCCGCGUGUGUGAAGAAGGUCUUCGGAUUGUAAAGCACUUUAAGUUGGGAGGAAGGGCAGUAAGUUAAUACCUUGCUGUUUUGACGUUACCAACAGAAUAAGCACCGGCUAACUUC
rnacentral:rRNA from 1 species